UGGGAAUCAGAGGGAUCAGGAAAUAGGCAGCUGAUUUAUUUGGGACGCCCCUAAGUUGGAGUUAAGUUGUUGCUGUCCUCUGGGAAGGGGGGGAAGUCUAGCCCCAGGUUCAGAUUUCUCUGUUGAGAAGCGAUUAGGCCAAGAGGAGGUUGGCUAAUUCAAUUUUUUUAGCCUCCUGUUUCAGUUCAUUGAGUUUGCCAGCAAGAAACAGGACUGCGAUUUAAAUACUCAGGGAAGAACCCUAGGCAAACUUUAGGCAUUGAAUCUACAGAGCACAGAUAGGAUACUCUGCUAAGGUUUGAAUGUGAAAUGCUUCCCUGCCCCCGAACAGGCUCUUGUGUUUGAACCCUUGGUUCUCCACUGGCAGUGCUCUUUGGAAAGACUGGGGAACACUUAGGGGGAGAAGCCUCACGGGAGGCAGUAGGUAACUAGGGGCUAGGGCCUUGCAGCUUCAUGGUUUGGCAUCAUUUCCUAUCUGCUCUCUGCUUUCUUACCGCUGAUACACUGUGACAAGCUGGCCUCCAGGUUCCUGGCCAGGAUGGGCUGUAUCUCCCUGCAGUGCACAAACUGAAGACCGGUGAGAGGCUCCUUGCUGCGUGGGCUCACUGCUAUCUCUGCUGCCUCCCUCGCAUGUCCUCAACAAGUCUGUACAGGUAGGCUUCGUUUCUGUUAAGGACUGUGCGCAGGAGUUUUGCUGUUCAUUGGCAAAAUCUAUAGACAGGGGUCUGGGGAGGAGUCUCAGCGGAAUGAUGCCUGCAGCAGUCUAAGCACUUUACCCAUACCGUGUGCACAUGCUGGCGGACCACUGAGCAUCACACAGCCACCCCUGCAAAAUGUCCACGAAUUUUUACCAUAGGGACUUCGCAGCAUUGAAUGAGGCGUUCAGAGAUCAUUCCUGCUUCAAAAUUCUGCACAAAAUCUCAGCAGGAUGAUGGCCAAGAGCACGUGUCGAGAACAUAUCACUAUGGUUUGGUUGGCCUUGAAAUUAUCAGUGUCUUCUGAGCUUAUGAGCAGUAAGCUUUGGGAAGGAGAGCCACAUGGAGGGCCUCACUCCAGAGCCUCCCAAGACAUCCCCUGGGACCCUCUGAAGCAAUGCUUUUUUAAAACAACAGAUACAAUUGGAGGGUAAGUUGGCAUGCUCAUUGCAAUUUGCCAUAGUGGGGGACAAAGAAAUGGAGGAGGAAUAUAAAGAUCCCUUUAAUAGAGGGAACACUGCUACCUUCCCU
rnacentral:lncRNA from 1 species